GUCCAAGGUUCUCUUAGGACAGCUAAAGGGAGAGGCUCUACUUUUGAUGGCAGCUUUCAGGCGGGCAGUGCAGAACAGCUCUGGUUUGUGUCGUGGUUUCCGGUGUGCCGUGUUCCCUAGUGUGUCUUUGGGGUCCCUUUUGCCUUCUUCCCUCGAGGCCCUCACCACAAGCAUGAUGUGUGGUGUUUGAUGUCCCCCUGUUUGUCACGUUCUGUGUCACGGGUGUCUGCACACAUACGGGUGCCGGAGCUGUUCUGCCCUGCCGCAUGGCCAGCUGCAAUGGGACAAGCCCUGGGGAGUGUAAAUUUGUAAUGGGGGCUGUACUUGGGCUCUAGAUGCUAUUCCUAGAUGGACCUAAGGUGUUUGCAGCUUGUGAGUUAUCCUGGUGGUGUUUGACACAUGUUCUAACUUUCUUUCAGGUGCAGAUGCAUUGCAUCCAUGGCAGAGGGUCAGAGUUAGCAGGUGCCGGGCCUUCCUAGGAGCAGGCUGUCUGAGAGACACCAGCCCGGUGACAGCAGGACCUUCCCAGCUGACGAGGUGGCCUUUCUUUGCACCUGGCACGGACCGGCAUCGCCAGAUGUCUGAGAGAUAAGUAGAGGGCUAUGACCCACAGAGGGGAUGAAGGCAGGGUGCUGGUUUGGGAAUUACUGGGAGGGGUUUUUGAGUCCAAUUUGGAGGUGGGGGGUGUCCAUGAAGUGGCCCCUUAGGCCCCAUGAAAGCCAAGUCUCACCUUUGAUCUCAGUGCUGAGGUGUUCAGGGCAGAGCAGUCCCGGUGUGUCUGGUGUCACUUGUCUGCUGUGCAUUAUGUGUUGUUUGUGUAUCUCCUGUCUUUUACCUUAGCCCUUUAAGGGGAUUGUCAGAAACCUUGGCAUCAUUGUUAGCAUCUGUGAUCUCUGCAUUCCUUGGCCUGGCACCCAGGCUAUAGAACUUUUGACUCGGGAGCUCAGGCAGGCAUCAGACUCUCUUAUCUAUUUAGAAGCAUCCAGUCAGAUGUCUUGUCAGGUCUUGUUCUGAGCUGUACGGACAGCUGUGCCCCACCUGGAUCCAUUAUGGUGGAUUAGGGCUUGAAAGAAUGUGAGGGCAGGCAGAGGAUUCUGACCAUAGGAUUCCUAGGCAUCCAUCUUUACUGUUCUUGGAAUCAAUCAUUCAGUUAGCAUCUUCUUCCUGCAGUGUUCUCUGAGCCUCAUCAGCUCACCGUCAGUUUGAACUCAGUCAUCUCCUUUUGCAUGCUCUCAGUCCUUGCAGCCAUUUUCCUUGCCAAGAGAUUUCUGUUCCUGUUGUGUCCCCGUUGUGUGUCCUGUCCUGUCUGUCCUGUGUCACGGGUGUCAGCACACAUUUGUGCCGGGGCUGCUCUGCCCUGCCGCAUAGCCUGGUGCGAUAGGAGAGGGCCCGGGGACUUGGAAUGUGUAAUGUGGGGUGUAGUUGGCCUCUAGAUGGGAUUUGUAGAUGGACACAGGACAUCUGGAGCUCUUCAGUUGUCCUGCAACAGUGUGACUCUUGUCCUAACGUUUUUUUCAGAUUCAGAUGAAUUAAAUCUGGGCCAGAGGGCCCCAUCCCGUGUGAGGGGAUUCCCCCGAGCAGGAAGUGAAUCUGGAUAGCAGCAGUCAAGGUGAGCCGUGGAGAGAAGUGGUUGUUAUUGCUCAGCUCUGAAGCACAUCAAUUUUUCAGCAGCUUGAUCAUGUCACAAGAGGGAUCUGCCCAGUGUCAAGGAUGAUGUUUGAGAUUGAGGCUUCAGCCAGGUGCCAGCCCUAAUAAAGGCCACAGCCUUGGAAUCAGGAUGAAGCUGGAGCCUGAGGGAGCCAGGCACACUCAGGAGAGGGCAGGUAGGAAUGCUGUGCCCCAAGCAGGGGUGCUUUGGUUUCUGCUGAG